GCGAUCAUGGCGGAACUGGUAUACGCGCUGGAUUUAGGUUCCAGUGGUGAAAACCGUCUGGGUUCGAGUCCCAGUGGUCGCA
rnacentral:tRNA from 1 species